ACUUAUCGUUUAAGCAUAUAACAUUUAUAUGAGACGGCUUAAAACAAUAAUCUUUUCCCUUGAUAUUAAACUAGAUUAGUUUAACAUGUGAAAUGUCCGUAAAGCAUCAUCAUAUGAUUGGUUUUAGGGCACAUUUCCAACAGGUACAGUAUGGAGCAGCAGGCCCAAAAAGGGAUGUGCAGGUGGUCCAAAUGCACCACGAUGAUGCCAUCCCACAGUAAUGCUGAAAAAAUGCCCAAUUUUUCGAACUAGGGUUUAGAAAACCCUAAAUAUGCUUCUAAUUUAUUUUGUAUACAUUGACUCACAUAUUCCACAUAGCAAUUUGAUUGCGUAAUGCAUGAAACAAAUAUAUAAACAUAUACAAUAUAUAUAUCGUAAGGAAAAUAUAAACAUAGAGGGGUUCAUGCAUCAUGGGGAAUGUUUUCAUGCUUCAAGGUCGUUUCAAAUAUCUUCCUUUAUUUUAAGCGUACCUGAUUGGCAGAAAACAACAAAAGCCUUUGAAGUUAUAAAAGAUCCUUCUCGGAAAGCCAGAGUUACAUCUCCAAUGCGUUGUAUCACGUUCAACACAGAAAAAUUAAAUUAAAUCAAUAGCAUGUAGAUCAAUUCAAAAUAAUAAAUUAAUCACAAAAAAGAAUGAUUAAAACGUAAUACUCCUCAUAUUGAAGAUCAAACUCUCUUUAUUGCAGCGUCAAGAACGUGCUAAUAACUUAUAGGAGCAUAUUUAUGCGACUUAGUUGGCUUGUUCUUAUGCAUUUAUGUCGUGUCUCUUUAGUUAUUUUAGUGUUUAAAGUCAUUU
rnacentral:lncRNA from 1 species